rnacentral:rRNA from 1 species
UACAGAGGUCUCAAGCGUUGUUCGGAUUCAUUGGGCGUAAAGGGUGUGUAGGUGGCGCCGUAAGUCGGGUGUGAAAUUUCGGAGCUUAACUCCGAAACUGCAUUCGAUACUGCGGUGCUUGAGGACUGGAGAGGAGACUGGAAUUCCCGGUGUAGCGGUGAAAUGCGUAGAUAUCGGGAGGAAUACCUAUGGCGAAAGCAGGCUACUGGACCGUCACUGACUCUGAUCUGCGAAAGCUAGGGGAGCAAACAGG